rnacentral:rRNA from 1 species
GGCUUAUUGAUUAUAAUUUUAGGUCUGGCCUGCCCAAUGAAGAGUUUAAUGGCCGCGGUAUACUGACCGUGCAAAGGUAGCAUAAUCAUUAGUUUUUUAAUUGAAAGCUUGUAUGAAAGGUUUGAUGAGAAAAUUUCUGUCUCUGGGAAGAUUUAUUAAAAUUUUAUUUUUAAGUGAGAAAGCUUAGAUUUGUAUAGAAGACGAGAAGACCCUGUAGAGUUUGAUAUUUUACUGUAGUUUGAAUUUAUUGGUAUCAAAAAUUUAAUUAAUAUAAAGUAUUUUAUUGGGGUGAUGGGAAAAUUAGCUGAACUUUUCUUUAUUAAAACAUUAAUUUGUGGAUUUAUGAUCCUAAAAUUUAGAUUAUAAGAAAAAAUUACCUCAGGGAUAACAGCGUAAUCUUCUCUAGAGUUCUUAUUGAAAGGAAGGGUUGCGACCUCGAUGUUGGAUUAAAAUUUAUUGUUGGUGUAGAAGCUGGCAGGUUAGGUCUGUUCGACCUUUAAAAUUUUACAUGAUCUGAGUUUAAACCGGUGUAAG